rnacentral:ribozyme from 13 species
UUUUUUUUUUUUUUUUUUUUUUUUUUUUCAUUCAAUAUCGUUUUAUGUAUUAAUGAAAAGG